CGUAGUUUAGCUGAGAUAUUAAAAACGCUUAUUGUUUGAGCAACUUUGUUUUUGUUAUUUGCACCUGACAGCAUUCCAACCUGAGGAUUGAUAGGUGAUUUGAAGAUAAUUCAGUAGAAUGAAUAUAGGGGCAAUUUCAAUUGAGAGAGAAAUUUAAGACAACAGAGUAUCAUGUAUGGAGUCGAUUGAAUAGGAAAAGCCUUUGGAGGAAGGAGACCUCGUUCUGUGAUAGCAAGGUGGCAGAGACAGAUGGACAGAAAGCUUAACUGAUGAUACCAAGAAAUGAAAUCCAAAAUCCAUCACUGUAAUUAGCUCGAGUACACAACGACAGUAUCUUCUUCCCCCAAAAUUAUGAUUGAUAUUAAACUGUUACUGAACAUUGAAAAGUUAAUAUUGAUUCUCAAAUGAAACAAUAGAUUGAAGCACAAUCUACUUUGACUGGCUAAAGACCAAAAUAAACCUUAAUUUAUGAUUUAUCAUUCUGCAAUUGGUUAUCGCAAUGGAUGCUUUGGUAGAUUCCCUAAACUCCUUCCUCAAGACCAUCCAGCAGUUACUGGAAAUAACAGCAACUGACCACACAGAGCUCAAUCCCUCAAGAAGAGUUGUGCUCAGCUACAAGGAGCUGCUUUACCACAGGUGACUAGGGGCAAUCCAUGGCCAAUGACUGCCUAAUGAAGGGAUACAAUGGCCCUGCCUCAAGUUGGGACAACUUUAAAGGCCCACCUCAUCUCUAGAGUUCCCAAGAGCAUUGGCUGAAGUCUGAGAUGCAACUGCAUUACACGUUAUCUUGUAUCCCUCUGCCCAGGCCCUGUCAUCACUUGUUCAUAUGUGUAUGUUCUACUAGAGGACCCCAUAAGCAACCUAUGUGAAAUUGUCUGUCACUUAAUAGGGAACUCAUUUUUCUGAUACAGAAAAAACUUAGGUCCUGCAUUUUACAAAAAUAUGAGAUAAAGGAAUUUUCCUCCUUGAGUUUUGAAAAGAAUAAUCUGAAAAAGCUCAAAAACACAACGAAGAAUAAUUUCAUCGGGUUUAUGAAAACUUCUCAUUUUCAAUACAAUAAAUAUCAUGAGAUAGAAA